GUGAAGAGACAAAUAGGGCGCUGAGGAUCGGAUCUUGGAUCCCUUCUUCGUUGCGAUUGAUUGGGGUUGCGGUUGAAUUAGGUCACGGAUUGGAGGCAUUGGAGAUCAGUGAGUUUGUUCUUGAGCUGUCGGGCAGAGUCUAGGUUUGUAAUUGAUCAGUGAUGAUCUUCCGAUUGGGUGAUUUCUUCUUCCUUGCUGCUGGCUAAUCUGUUGAGCAGCUCACUUGGGUUUCGGCAGAACCUCCCUCUAGCAGCAUCUUGUUUCAACAGCAACUUGAUUAAAGCAGUGAGGUUAUGUUGCUGUGUUGUUGACAAAGGUUUUGGAUCAGUGAGGUGAAUUCCAGCAGCAUUCCUUGAUCCAGCAAUCAACAGGGCUGUGAAUCGAGGUAUGUGAAGGGAUUUUG